rnacentral:rRNA from 1 species
UACAGAGGUCUCGAGCGUUGUUCGGAUUCACUGGGCGUAAAGGGCGCGUAGGCGGCACGGCAAGUCGGGUGUGAAAGCCCGAGGCUCAACCCCGGAGGGUCUUCCGAAACUGCCGAGCUAGAGUGCGGAAGAGGCAACCGGAAUUCCCAGUGUAGCGGUGAAAUGCGUAGAUAUUGGGAAGAACACCAGUGGCGAAGGCGGCUAUCUGGACGGUUACUGACACUAAGACUCGAAAGCGUGGGGAGCAAACAGG